rnacentral:rRNA from 1 species
AUUGAACGCUGGCGGCAUGCUUUACACAUGCAAGUCGAACGGUAACAGGGUGCUUGCACCGCUGACGAGUGGCGAACGGGUGAGUAAUGCGUCGGAACGUGCCGAGUAGUGGGGGAUAACGCAGCGAAAGUUGUGCUAAUACCGCAUACGUACUGAGGUAGAAAGUGGGGGACCUUCGGGCCUCACGCUAUUCGAGCGGCCGACGUCUGAUUAGCUAGUAGGUGAGGUAAAGGCUCACCUAGGCGACGAUCAGUAGCGGGUCUGAGAGGAUGAUCCGCCACACUGGGACUGAGACACGGCCCAGACUCCUACGGGAGGCAGCAGUGGGGAAUUUUGGACAAUGGGUGAAAGCCUGAUCCAGCCACGCCGCGUGUCUGAAGAAGGCCUUCGGGUUGUAAAGGACUUUUGUCAGGGAGGAAAUCCCUAGUGCUAAUAACACUGGGGGAUGACAGUACCUGAAGAAUAAGCACCGGCUAACUACGUGCCAGCCGCCACAGUAA